CCUCCAUCCGAUAUUCAUCACGUCUGCUGCGGCUGCAUGUCACUUAACAGCAUCACUAUGACGACUCAAGUCCUCAUCACAUUUGUGGUCUCGUCUCUGUGGCUUCAAGUUCAUUGUCAGGAUGUGACCCAACAACCUGCCAUCAGCUGGAGUUAUGAGUCCAAAUCUGCACAGAUGAACUGCAGACACAACAAAGAUGUCAGUUAUAACCAGAUGUACUGGUACAGGCAGCGUCCAGGGGAGACCAUGACCCUCAUUGUGUACACAGCUUUGGGUGGAAAUCCAGACUAUGGAGAUCAUCCUCAAACCAAAUAUUCAGCCGUCAAAGAUGACGCACAGACCGGGGCUCUCACUGUGAAAGACCUGAAGCCUCAGGACAGCAGUUUGUAUUUCUGUGCCAUCAGCAAACACAGUGAUGUGAGAAGCUGAGAAGCUGAGCAAAAACUGGUUGAUUUUGACGUUUCUAUCUCUCCAGUAGGUGGAGCUGGAGAUCCAAAAACACUCCAUUGGACACAUGCAAAUGACAUUUAAUCCAUCUGGUGCAGACAGGAGGGAGCUGAUAAAGAGUGUACAGUAAACAGAGCCGCUCAGUGAUCUGUGUUCAUUCAGACAGGAGCUCAACA